UGGAGGCUGAAACCCGCCUCCAUGAAGUUGGAUUCGCUAGUAAUCGCGCAACAGCCAUGGCGCGGUGAAUACGUUCCCGGGCCUUGUACACACCGCCCGUCAAGCCAUGGGAGCCCGGGGGGUGCCUGAAGUUCGUGACCGCAAGGAGCGACCUAGGGCAAAACUGGUGACUGGGGCUAAGUCGUAACAAGGUAUC
rnacentral:rRNA from 1 species